rnacentral:rRNA from 1 species
UACGAAGGGGGCUAGCGUUGUUCGGAAUCACUGGGCGUAAAGGGCGCGUAGGCGGCUUUGUAAGUCGGGGGUGAAAGCCUGUGGCUCAACCACAGAAUUGCCUUCGAUACUGCAUGGCUUGAGACCGGAAGAGGUAAGUGGAACUGCGAGUGUAGAGGUGAAAUUCGUAGAUAUUGGGAAGAACACCGGUGGCGAAGGCGGCCAUCUGGACCGGAACUGACGCUGAGGCGCGAAAGCGUGGGGAGCAAACAGG